rnacentral:ncRNA from 1 species
AUAAUAUUUAGAUUUAGUAUCCUAAUUGUUUAUCUCUACUCUUCCACAUGCAACAUUAUGACACCUGCCUUAUCUCAAAUUUCAAAAAUACAACAUUCUAUUAAUUUAUAAAAAUGUAGAGCAAGCGGCAGCAGUGAUAAAUCCUGACCCACUAGUAAAAGCUAGAGUCGACUAAAAGAAUACAGGAGUGGUCAAUAGAGGUGCCAGAAACAUCGGUUAGGCCUCGAAUCCAAAACAAUUAUUUCGGGAGAUAGGUCAAUUCUAUAUUUGAAAGAUGAAAGUAUGAUUAACUACGUUUAAUGUAAAUCACCCUAACAAUCCACCACUUUCAUUUAUUCAUUCCUAAUAAAUCAUAGACUGAAACAGGGAUUUGAUAACCCAUUAUCCUAUUUGACUACAACUUAAGCCCCGGGUACUAACUAUUAACAAUCGAAACCCAAAAACCAUGGCGGCCUCUCAACAUCUCAGGGGAAUCUGCCCUAUAACUAGAUGAUCCACUAUAAUACUCACUUAUUUUCGCAUACGUUUACCAUGUGUAACACUACCAGGCAGUGUAUGGUCGCCUUAAGUUUCAUCUUCAAUGGUGUAGCACAAAAAUCAUAAAUAACAACAUCAUCAUAAUGCUGAUGGGGGAGUAAGUCUAGGGGGCGAAUCUCACUUAAAUUUACUAAGACAGAUCAUUAUGCUCCUUAUAAAUAAGAAGAGGUGGAUUACAGUUCUUACAUAAGAACAAAUACAACAAUCGACAAUAGUUGAUUCAAGUAAAGGACUUGACAGUAAUAAGAUUUUAAAAUGAUCUUAUGAACAUGUUAUCUGAUAGGUGCACAAAUCGCCCGGCCCUCUACCCGAUUAGGGGAGAUAAGCCGUAACAAAGUAGAUGUAACGGAAGUUGUAUCUCAAAAGAU